AUGGGGGGUGGGAGCAACUCCGGCAAGCCUGGCGCGUCAGAGGCGUUGAGCCUCGUGUUCCGCAUCGCGACGGUGGGGCUGUCGCUGGCGUCGGCGAUCACGACGGCGGCCUCGACGCAGAGCCAGUGCGUCCACGACGACUGCAACGGCGUGGCGACCGCCGCUGUCUCCUCUGGCAACUACAACUCCUUCAAGUACUCGGCGCUGGCCGACCUGCUGUCGGCGGUGCUGCAGGGAGUGGCGAUCUGCCUGGAGGUGGCGAGGAAGGAGAAGGCAGCCAAGGUCGUGGAGCUCAUCGACAAGCUCCUACUGGCGCUCACGUCGACGUCAGCGGCGCUGCUGCUGGCCGUCGACGACAUCACCUCCUGCGGGUCACCUCGCGGUGGCGGGCGCCGGCGCAGCAGACGCUUCUGCACCCAGGCCGGGGGGUUCUGCGGGAAGAUCCGAGCGUCGUCGGCCUUGUCCCUCGUCGCCGCCGUCUCCGUCUCCGUCACCGUCUACACCAGGCACAUCCCCGUAAGUUUUACGCUUACGCCACGGACUUCGACCUCAGCCGCGGGAAUACCAAAGAAUGGAGGCACGACAGCACCGCCACCAAAAAAUGGAGGCACAACAGCACCGCCACCAGAGAAUGGAGGCACAACAGCACCGCCACCAGAGAAUGGAGGCACAACAGCACCGCCACCAAAGAAUGGAGGCACAACAGCACCGCCACCAGAGAAUGGAGGAACAACAGCACCGCCACCAAAGAAUGGAGGCACAGCAGCACCUACCCGAACCAAGUGUGGAGAAGAACAACCGUCCUGCACAGAAAUUGGGACCCCACCAUGCUGCGGAUGCACGACGCUGACGAUUCGGCAAGGCUGCGAGAUCGCCGAGCGGGUGGUGUCCCCGGCCGUGCUGCGGAUGCCCGAGGCGGACGAUCCCGGAAGGCUGCCAGAACCCUGA
rnacentral:rRNA from 1 species